rnacentral:rRNA from 1 species
UACGUAGGUGACAAGCGUUGUCCGGAUUUACUGGGCGUAAAGAGCGCGCAGGCGGUCGAUCAAGUCGAGUGUGAAAGCCCCCGGCUCAACUGGGGAGGGUCAUUCGAUACUGAUCGACUCGAAGGCAGGAGAGGGUAGUGGAAUUCCCGGUGUAGUGGUGAAAUGCGUAGAUAUCGGAAGGAACAUCAGUGGCGAAAGCGGCUUCCUGGACCAGUACCGACGUUCAGGCACGAAAGCGUGGGGAGCAAACAGG